CCUACGGGGUGCAGCAGUGGGGAAUAUUGGACAAUGGGCGAAAGCCUGAUCCAGCCAUGCCGCGUGUGUGAAGAAGGCCUUCGGGUUGUAAAGCACUUUCAGUGGGGAAGAAAGCCUUGGGGCUAAUACCCUCGAGGAAGGACAUCACCCACAGAAGAAGCACCGGCUAACUCCGUGCCAGCAGCCGCGGUAAUACGGAGGGUGCGAGCGUUAAUCGGAAUUACUGGGCGUAAAGCGCGCGUAGGCGGUCUGAUAAGCCGGUUGUGAAAGCCCCGGGCUCAACCUGGGAACGGCAUCCGGAACUGUCAGGCUAGAGUGCAGGAGAGGAAGGUAGAAAUCCCGGUGUAGCGGGGAAAUGCGUAGAGAUCGGGAGGAAUACCAGUGGCGAAGGCGGCCUUCUGGACUGACACUGACGCUGAGGUGCGAAAGCGUGGGUAGCAAACAGGAUUAGAUACCCCGGGUAGUC
rnacentral:rRNA from 1 species